rnacentral:rRNA from 1 species
GAACGAACGCUGGCGGCAGGCUUAACACAUGCAAGUCGAACGCCCCGCAAGGGGAGUGGCAGACGGGUGAGUAACGCGUGGGAACAUACCCUUUCCUGCGGAAUAGCUCCGGGAAACUGGAAUUAAUACCGCAUACGCCCUACGGGGGAAAGAUUUAUCGGGGAAGGAUUGGCCCGCGUUGGAUUAGCUAGUUGGUGGGGUAAAGGCCUACCAAGGCGACGAUCCAUAGCUGGUCUGAGAGGAUGAUCAGCCACAUUGGGACUGAGACACGGCCCAAACUCCUACGGGAGGCAGCAGUGGGGAAUAUUGGACAAUGGGCGCAAGCCUGAUCCAGCCAUGCCGCGUGAGUGAUGAAGGCCUUAGGGUUGUAAAGCUCUUUCACCGGAGAAGAUAAUGACGGUAUCCGGAGAAGAAGCCCCGGCUAACUUCGUGCCAGCAGCCGCGGUAAUACGAAGGGGGCUAGCGUUGUUCGGAAUUACUGGGCGUAAAGCGCACGUAGGCGGAUAUUUAAGUCAGGGGUGAAAUCCCAGAGCUCAACUCUGGAACUGCCUUUGAUACUGGGUAUCUUGAGUAUGGAAGAGGUAAGUGGAAUUCCGAGUGUAGAGGUGAAAUUCGUAGAUAUUCGGAGGAACACCAGUGGCGAAGGCGGCUUACUGGUCCAUUACUGACGCUGAG